ACUGUCUCAUAAAUUCCUGUGAGAGACCAAGCAUUCUGAGAAGUCUCAUAUUAUAUGAAUCAGUGUCCAUGUUAAUCAGUGCCCCUGUGAAUCAGUGUCCGUGUUAAUCAGUGCCACUGUGAAUCAGUGUCCAAGGCUGCUCUUGAUCUAAGGAACGUUGACAGCUAGAUUUACUAGGGGCAGUAUGUACAAUACAAGCUGUGAUAUUGACAGCUAGAUUUACUAGGGGCAGUAUGUACAAUACAAGCUGUGAUAUUGACAGCUAGAUUUACUAGGGGCAGUAUGUACAAUACAAGCUGUGAUAUUGACAGCUAGAUUUACUAGGGGCAGUAUGUACAAUACAAGCUGUGAUAUUGACAGCUAGAUUUACUAGGGGCAGUAUGUACAAUACAAGCUGUGAUAUUGACAGCUAGAUUUACUAGGGGCAGUAUGUACAAUACAAGCUGUAAUAUUGACAGCUAGAUUUACUAGGGGCAGUAUGUACAAUACAAGCUGUGAUAUUGACAGCUAGAUUUACUAAGGGCAGUAUGUACAAUACAAGCUGUGAUAUUGACAGCUAGAUUUACUAGGGGCAGUAUGUACAAUACAAGCUGUGAUAUUGACAGCUAGGUUUACUAGGGGCAGUAUGUACAAUACAAGCUGUGAUAUUGACAGCUAGGUUUACUAGGGGCAGUAUGUACAAUACAAGCUGUGAUAUUGACAGCUAGAUUUACUAGGGGCAGUAUGUACAAUACAAGCUGUGAUAUUGACAGCUAGAUUUACUAGGGGCAGUAUGUACAAUACAAGCUGUGAUAUUGACAGCUAGAUUUACUAGGGGCAGUAUGUACAAUACAAGCUGUAAUAUUGACAGCUAGAUUUACUAGGGGCAGUAUGUACAAUACAAGCUGUGAUAUUGACAGCUAGAUUUACUAAGGGCAGUAUGUACAAUACAAGCUGUGAUAUUGACAGCUAGAUUUACUAAGGGCAGUAUGUACAAUACAAGCUGUGAUAUCGACAGCUAGAUUUACUAGUGGCAGUAUGUACAAUACAAGCUGUGAUAUUGGAUGGGCAUGAACAAUAUCUGCAUGGAAAUAAAUGUUAAAGCAACUAUUUUUAGAUAGAGACAAUACUACCAUUGUGAAUAAGUUGAAUUGGAAGAUGAAGUUCAAAUAGUUGACUUAAAAUUAUGACACACUGUAAGGUAUGGUUAG